AAAUAAAAAAAAAUGUAUGUGUUAUCCACACAUAUAUGAAGAUUAUAAAUAAUAAAAGAAGCUCGAUUCUAUUCUCUUUUUUCAAAGUUACAAUUUUUUAUUGAAAAAAAAAGUCAGUUCUUUAUAAGUAAAUUUUAAUGCUCAAUAUUCGAGUAGACUUUUCAAGUUGAUAAUGCUUUCUGGGUGAUCUCAAACUUUGCAAUUGUUAUCCUGUCAAAAAAAAAAUCUUGAUACUUUUUAUGUACAAAGAAUUUACUUGUUACUAAUAUAACUUAACUCUCGUUAUUCUUUAGAUCUAUUUUGUUCACUCCAAUAGUAUCAGAAAUCAAAUCAAUGCAUAAAAAAUGAAUGUUUGUCAUAUUACAUAGAAUUCAGACUAUACUACAUCAGUUGUUUUACUGGAUUGAAAAAUAUCUCAACAAAAU
rnacentral:lncRNA from 1 species